rnacentral:rRNA from 1 species
CCUACGGGUGGCAGCAGUGAGGAAUAUUGGUCAAUGGACGAGAGUCUGAACCAGCCAAGUAGCGUGAAGGAUGACUGCCCUAUGGGUUGUAAACUUCUUUUAUAUGGGAAUAAAAUGUUCCACGUGUGGGAUUUUGUAUGUACCAUAUGAAUAAGGAUCGGCUAACUCCGUGCCAGCAGCCGCGGUAAUACGGAGGAUCCGAGCGUUAUCCGGAUUUAUUGGGUUUAAAGGGAGCGUAGGUGGAUGGUUAAGUCAGUUGUGAAAGUUUGCGGCUCAACCGUAAAAUUGCAGUUGAGACUGGCAGUCUUGAGUCCAGUAGAGGUGGGCGGAAUGCGUGGUGUAGCGGUGAAAUGCUUAGAUAUCACGAAGAACUCCGAUUGCGAAGGCAGUUCACUGGACUGCAACUGACGCUGAGGCUCGAAAGUGUGGGUAUCAAACAGGAUUAGAUACCCGUGUAGUC